rnacentral:rRNA from 1 species
GAUGACGCUGGCGGCGUGCCUAAUACAUGCAAGUCGAGCGAGCGGCGGACGGGUGAGUAAUGUCUGGGAAACUGCCUGAUGGAGGGGGAUAACUACUGGAAACGGUAGCUAAUACCGCAUACCAUCAGCUGUGCCCAGAUGGGAUUAGCUAGUAGGUGAGGUAACGGCUCACCUAGGCGACGAUCCCUAGCUGGUCUGCGAGGAUGACCAGCCACACUGGAACUGAGACACGGUCCAUACUCCUACGGGAGGCAGCAGUGGGGAAUAUUGCACAAUGGGCGCAAGCCUGAUGCAGCCAUGCCGCGUGUAUGAAGAAGGCCUUCGGGUUGUAAAGUACUUUCAGCGGGGAGGCGUUACCCGCAGAAGAAGCACCGGCUAACUCCGUGCCAGCAGCCGCGGUAAUAC